rnacentral:rRNA from 1 species
GUAAUACAUCGGAACAUGUCCUGUAGUGGGGGAUAGCCCGGCGAAAGCCGGAUUAAUACCGCAUACGAUCUGAGGAUGAAAGCGGGGGACCUUCGGGCCUCGCGCUAUAGGGUUGGCCGAUGGCUGAUUAGCUAGUUGGUGGGGUAAAGGCCUACCAAGGCGACGAUCAGUAGCUGGUCUGAGAGGACGACCAGCCACACUGGGACUGAGACACGGCCCAGACUCCUACGGGAGGCAGCAGUGGGGAAUUUUGGACAAUGGGCGCAAGCCUGAUCCAGCAAUGCCGCGUGUGUGAAGAAGGCCUNCGGGUUGUAAAGCACUUUUGUCCGGAAAGAAAUCAUUCUGGNUAAUACCG